UACGGGGGGAGCAAGCGUUGUUCGGAUUUACUGGGCGUAAAGGGCGCGUAGGCGGCGCAACAAGUCACUUGUGAAAUCUCCGGGCUUAACCCGGAGCGGCCAAGUGAUACUGUCGUGCUAGAGUGCGGAAGGGGCUACUGGAAUUCUCGGUGUAGCGGUGAAAUGCGUAGAUAUCGAGAGGAACACCUGCGGCGAAGGCGGGUGAGCUGGGCCGACACUGACGCUGAUGCGCGAAAGCCAGGGGAGCGAACGGG
rnacentral:rRNA from 1 species